UUACGCUUACGUAGCUUCUUUCCUGCGGUCGGAACUUGAGCGGCGCUGGAAGUGCGGUUGGAUCGCUGUUUUUCAGGCAACAGGAGCGGCCCUGCCUUAUUCCUGCAUCGGGGCUCUGGAAGCGAAGGCGGUUGGACGCUUGCUGAGCAGGAGAAGAGUGGAAGCAUUUGAUGGAACGAGCCUUUGCCUGGACGUGCAGUGUUCUGCUGACAGUAUAAGCAAUGAGUGAUUUUGAGUUCAUCUUUUGCAGAUGGCAUGAUCGGCUAUGGCCUGCAAAAAUACUGUUGAAGUCUGGUAUUUCUCCCAGUGAAACGCCCAAGACAAAUUCAGACUGUUUGGAUGUCCAAAUAAUAUGCUUGGAUAAACGGUUGAGGGUUAAGCGCAUUGACACAAGACCAUUUGAGGAAGAACAAGUCAAAAGCAUUAGCAGUGGAUUGGUGUGUCGAGAAGACUCUACUCAUGAAGAAAUUUUGGAGGAAUUGACUUACAGGAAAGCACUUCGAAUCGGCUUGGACAUUUUAGCAGGCCAAGAUUCCGAUACCACUCAAAUGACUAUAAGCAAACCUGUAAUGGAAAAGACUGGGGUAUUUGCUUCAGAAGAGUUUAAAACGAGCGCUUGUGCUUUAAAUUCUAAUGUAACAAGCAGAACAUUGAAGCCAAAUGGAGUGCAUUUGCUUCAAGAACAGGGGGGCACAUGCACUCGGCAAAGUAGCAGGAGAGCAUCUUGUGUUAAAAAAAUGCCAGAAAAUGAACGACGAAAAACAUGGACUAGAUCAUGUACAUUACUCCAGUCUUCAAUUAAAAUGAAAAGUGUGUCGGAAAAGGAAGAAGGUGGUAUUGUAGGGAAAAGAAAAAGGGGGAGAAUGAAAAAAGAUCUUUGUCACCUCCAGAAAGAUGCUUCAGAGUUUAGUCCCACACAAUGUAACCAAUCAAUACAACCGAUGAAAUCAAUACCUACUGAAAAAGAUAAAUCUUGCAGUAAAAAAUGUGAGAGGUCACGAGAAAAGGGAAAGUCUUCAUCCCAAGCCUGUAGUUCUACAGUCUCUGGAGUAAAGAAAGAUCAAAAUGGAACAUUUAAAAAGAAUAAACAGAAGUCAAGGGAUUUUUGUAAGUCUCUCUGUGAAGGAGUUUCAAAUUCUUUCCCAGCUAAUUGUGACUCUCAAGAGGUUUGGACACCUGACAUUCCUCAUAGCUGUCUAGAAUCUACUCCAAGACACAGAACUUGUGGAAAUAUUGGGUCAUAUAAAUGUUCACAGCUUUUAAGCAGCAGUCAAAACAUUGAGUCUGAAGAGAAAAGUGAUUGGGUACAAACUCAUGAGGUAGAAAAGCAUAAAAGGAAAAAAGGAAAGAAACGUACAGAACCGAUGGAAAGCCUUAAUUCUAGCAAGACUUCCGCUGAUUUGGAUGCUAACGUGAACUCAAGCAACCAGUCAAAUGUAGUGAGUAUUGCACAACCAGAGAGUCCGGAACAACAUGUACAGAGCUCUAUAUUUGAGUUUGCACUGGAUGAGAUAGUGAGCCCUAUAAAUGGAAGUAACCAGAAGUAUAGUAGUUCAGAAAGUCUUCAGACAACCUGUCCUACUGCCAUAACUAUGGAGGGAGCAUUAAGCCCUUUAAACAUUAGGGAAGAGGAGGAAACUUUACCCACUGCAUUGCUUGAAACUUGCCUUGGGUCAUCGUCAUUUGGAGUUGAAGUGGGAACACAGUCAUCCUCUUCAUUAUCUGUAGAGUUCAGUUCAAUGGACACCCUUUCUACAAGUAAAUUCAUAGAAGGGAUUAUAGAGGAGAGAGAUGAGGAAGAUGAUGAGAACCUUCCGAGCAUCCUGUCACACCAAGAGCAAUGGUCAGUCGCUGAAGGGAUGUUGGUGUGGUGUAAAUUCCAGAAGUACCCAAACUGGCCUGCAGUGGUAAGAAGUGUAAAAUCCAGAAUCAAAAAGGCCAGCAUAUUGUUUGUAGAUGAAAAUAUAAUCAAUGCAGAAAGGCACAAAAAAGGCUUCUGUGUCUCCAUAAGAACUCUAAAACCAUUUGAUUGUGAGGAUCGACAAAAAUAUACAGCUGCAGCAAGGCAUAUUUACAAUGAUUCAAUUGAUUGGUGUGUAGCUCUUAUUGAUGACUAUCGGAUUAGAAGAGGCUGCGGGUCCUUCACAGGUUCUUUUGUUGAAUAUUGCACAGCUGAACUCAGUAUCCCAGUACGAAAAUCAUUUGCACAAGAUCCUUCAUUAAUGACUUUCCCAUCCAAUUCAAUUGAGAGUCAGGUGGAAGGCCAUUCUGAUUGUGAAUAUGACACAACACCAACCAAACACCAGCCUGCCAAGAAACUGCUCCCUGAUAGGAAGAAAGCUGCCAGGGAUCGAGCUAAUGAAAAACUGGUGCAAUUCAUUGUCAAGGCCAAGGGCGUGGAGAAGCAUCUUCAAGAUGUAAUUAAGGGAAAAAGGCAUUCCAAGUGGCUUGAGGAGUUCAAAACCCGUACCCGCAACUCAAGUGUUAUUGACACCUACCUUGAAGAUGACUGGCAGGUGGACAAAGUGAUGAACUACUUAAAAAGUGUAUAUGAAAUGAAUGUAAGCACACAGCUGUUGGUAGACUAUGAGAGGUGCAGGUUUAUCUUGGAUGUUCUCUUACCGGAGAUUCCCAUUUUGUUUUUAACUUUCAAGUAUGGUUGCAAUUUCCAUUUUCCCUUAAAAGGCCAUUAUCUGUGCUAUUGCAGAGGUUGAACAAAUAACCAUCAAGAAAGCAGAGGAAAAGUACAUGAAAGGACCUCUUCACAGUGAAAGGGAAGUUGAACAUUUUAACAAGGAGAUUGAAAAUGAAAUGAUGCUGAGGCAACAGCAUUUGAACGAGGACGAAUCCACAAGCUAAACCUUUUAUUCUUGAAAUUAUAAUAUAUGUAUGAAAUUGAAUGAAAUCCUUAUUUUUGCAUCAAAUUAAUGUGUUCUUUAAUAGAAAGAUGUUCUAUUAAGAGUGUGUUUCUUAUAAAUCGAUUAAACCAAGGGUGUACAGCUAUCUUGAAUUAAAAUAUUUAAAUAUACUAUCAGAGGAGGGUUAAUGAUCAAAAAGGGUCAAGUACUUUUGGAUCUGAAUUUAUUUUUUAAGUGGAAAGCCAUAUUUCACAAAGUUUGGUCUUUGAUGAGUGCACUAUAUUUUUUUUUUUCUCUACCCCCUCUCUGAAUCAUUCAGCAUUUGUGAAUUGAUUUAUUUGCUUUUGAGUUCCAUUAAUAUUUCUCCCUGGACUAAACUGUAAUGCUGGGCUUCACUGUUGUCACUGUAUGCAAAAUCUAAUACGGGAGGACUACUCAUUGAUAAAUCUUACAUUUGGAGAUAUUUUUGGUACAUUUUCUUUUUAUCUUGUUUAUACAGUGGCAGUUGAAACCAUAUUUUUGUAAAUUUCAGUUAUCAAAUGUAUUGAGAAGUGAUGCAUGUUACAUGUGAAUAACUUAUAAAAUGCAUACCCCCAAUAUGUUUUGUAUGUGUUAAUUGCUGACUAACGUUUAAGUUUGAUAACAAUAGCUUGAUGGUCUUACAGAUUUCAUCAGAUUGGCAAUGCAAUGGGGAUUCUAAGAUGUGGCCUGAGUGGAACUUGUAACCUUGAAGUUCUCCAUCAAUUUUCUUCAGCCGUUUAAAUAAAUAUUUUGGAAGUCCAGUGAGACGAUAUUUAUAUUUUAUAUUCUAUACCUGAAUUAGGCAAUGGAUAAUGCGUUGAGAAAAAUCAGUUUUUAAUUCAUUUGACAACUUUAAUUUGAUAUAAAUUUGAAGUCUAGACAGGAAUGUUUGAAAUAAAUUAUAAAAUAUCUAUGGGCCAAAUGUUAGUUACAUUCAUUCUGCUGACUAUAUCCAUGAGUGUUUUGUGGAAUGUAUAUAAAUUUAGAAUGUUGAGCUGUAGCUGUGGUUUCAGCUGUUGCAGCUUUUUUUAAAACCAGGAAUUCUUUGCUAUUUUGGAGGAUAUUUUGCAUUAUAUUGCUUUGUAUGUGAUUUAAAAAGCAGCAUUGGCCAUUAGUUGUUAGGUCUUCAUUGGACACUAUGAAAAGCAACAGCCAUAACAAUAAACAUUAUUUUUUUGGUGUGUACCUAUUUGAAUAAAUGUGUUAUUGUAGACUGCCAUUAUCUCAGACAACCUGGCUGUCUGAGUCUCCUAAUUUGUUUUUGUACCGUAUAGCCUACAGUAUAAUAAGGGACUACUUUAUGUUUCAGUAACACAUUGUUGAAUAUUAGGUGCAUAUUGAUCUGUACACGUGUGCCGAGUUCGGAUU